AUGAGCACGAGUAGCAUUCUUGUUGCUAACACUUCUCUCCUUUCCUCCAUUUCCAUGACCAUGGCAGAACAGACAGUUUACCCUAUUGCCUCUGCUGUAACCGGGGAGCUCACCAGCAGAGUGUUCUCAGGGCUGAUACAGAUGUUCGGUAAGGAGGCAGCUGCCGGUGAGAAGCUGCAGCGGCUGGAGAUGCUGCUAAUCAAGAUCCACAGUGCGAUUGAGGCGUCCGAGAAACUCACCAUCGAGAAUUUGUGGCUCGUUCGAUGGCGCGACAAGCUAAAGGAAGCAGCCUCACAAGGCGACGAGGUGCUUGCCAGCUUCAUACGAAAGGCAGAAGACGCUGAAGCCACAAGGAGCAUUGACACCAACCAGCAGCAAGGCUCAUCCUCUUCUUCUAGUGCUGCUUCUGCUAGAGCUACAGGUGCUCUGUCUUUCACAAGUAAAUCUAUGUUGGGCAUGGCGCAGGGCAUCCGUGACGCAACCCAAGUACUGUUUUCGAAUGAUGAAGACAUGGAAAAGCUGAGCAAAACACUGGACAUGUUAGAACACCUCUCCGAAGACAUCAGAGAGUUCAUAAGAUUGUUUCAGCUUGAGGACUGGGCAAAGGCAGAUCUAAAAUCUACCGAGAGUAUGGAGACUCCAACAACAGAGCAUAGACCAAGAAAAAAGAUGAGGAUCACAAGAAAUUCAGGGUGCAGAUUAUUUGGCCUCAAAUUAGAUGAGGAAGACACAACAAUUUCAGCUCCGUGCGUGGAGGAUGUGGUAGUGAACAAAUUGAUCAAUCUUUCGAUCAAUGAAAUGGCAGUUAUCCAGAAGGAACAGUGUGAAAUGCUCCUUGACAAGCUUGAGGAAGGGUUUGCCAAUAUCUGCAAGACCGUCGAGCUAGCAGAUAGCCACGACCUUGGGGACAUGAAGUGGCUUGCAUACUGGGCUGACAUCCUAAGGGAGGCCAAGAUAAAAGGCUGUGUCGUUCUUGGCACCAUCAGUGCUCGCAAAACACUAAGGGCCAAAGAUAACGAGCCAAUGGUGAAAUGUGAUCAAGAUCAAGAGAGAGAUCAAUUCAGCAGUUUCGUGCAUAGCAUGGAGGGCUUAGCCAGGGAUGUGGAAUGCUUCGGCAAAUUGGUAUACAUGUGUUCAUGA
rnacentral:rRNA from 1 species